rnacentral:rRNA from 1 species
UGCCAGUAGUCAUAUGCUUGUCUCAAAGAUUAAGCCAUGCAUGUCUAAGUACAAGCCUCAUUAAGGUGAAACCGCGAAUGGCUCAUUAAAUCACACCUAAUAUACUGGAUAUUAUCGAUUACUUGGAUAACUGCGGUAAUUUCUGGAGCUAAUACAUGCACACAAGCCCUGAACUUACGUGAAGGGCGCUUUUAUUAGAUCAAAACCAAACGGCUUUGCCGUCUAUUUGGUGAUUCUGAAUAACUUUUGGCUGAUCGCACGGCUCUACGCCGGCGACGUAUCCUUCUAAGGUGUGCCCUAUCAACUGUCGACUGUGGCAUAGACGCCCACAGUGGUUUUGACGGGUAACGGGGAAUUAGGGUUCGAUUCCGGAGAGGGAGCCUGAGAAACGGCUACCACUUCUAAGGAAGGCAGCAGGCACGCAAAUUACCCACUGGUCGAAGACCGAGGUAGUGACGAAAAAUAACGAAGCCGGACUCAUCCGAGGCCCGGUUAUCGGAAUGGGUACACUUUAAAUCCUUUAACUAGGAACAAUUGGAGGGCAAGUCUGGUGCCAGCAGCCGCGGUAAUUCCAGCUCCAAUAGCGUAUAUUAAAGUUGUUGCGGUCAAAAAGCUCGUAGUUGGAUCUCGGCGAAUAGGGGAUGGUUCAUUGUCUGAUGUUACUGUCCCAUUUAUUCGUGUUUUUGAUGGAGGUUCCAGGGUGCUCUUAAAUAAGUGUCUUGGGAUGCCAUCAGGUUUACUUUGAAAAAAUUAGAGUGCUCAAAGCAGGCUUUACAAGCUUGAAUAUUC